rfam:Myotis lucifugus cont2.35628, whole genome shotgun sequence.
UUUGAUGAGAAUAAACCUCACUCUGUCUCAGUGGUAGAGAUCGGUGAAAAUAUUUCUGUCUUCUUGCCACUAGAUAGAUGUGAUUCAAACUUGGAGAACUGAAAGCACAAAUCAAAGGAGACACCGAUUGUGCAUCCACUGAUGUGCUGACAGAAG